GAUGAACGCUGGCGGCGUGCCUAAUACAUGCAAGUCGAGCGAACAGACGAGGAGCUUGCUCCUCUGACGUUAGCGGCGGACGGGUGAGUAACACGUGGAUAACCUACCUAUAAGACUGGGAUAACUUCGGGAAACCGGAGCUGAUACCGGAUAAUAUAUUGAACCGCAUGGUUCAAUAGUGAAAGACGGUUUUGCUGUCACUUAUAGAUGGAUCCACGCCGCAUUAGCUAGUUGGUAAGGUAACGGCUUACCAAGGCAACGAUGCGUAGCCGACCUGAGAGGGUGAUCAGCCACACUGGAACUGAGACACGGUCCAGACUCCUACGGGAGGCAGCAGUAGGGAAUCUUCCGCAAUGGGCGAAAGCCUGACGGAGCAACGCCGCGUGAAUGAUGAAGGUCUUCGGAUCGUAAAACUCUGUUAUUAGGGAAGAACAAAUGUGUAAGUAACUAUGCACGUCUUGACGGUACCUAAUCAGAAAGCCACGGCUAACUACGUG
rnacentral:rRNA from 1 species